GUUGCAGGACCAGAGCUCGUCUCUUCUGCAUUGGACAGGGUGCAUCACAGACUAUACCCAUAUGUUCAUUCACACUGUGCCAAUUUAAAAUCAUCAAUCACAAACCACAAGAGGAAAUGAGAGGUCUCAGUGAAAACUCACACCAACACAGGAACAUGCACACUUAAGACAUCCUACACAGGGAUCAACCUGGAAGUCCACUCUUCAUAUUAGUAUUUGAAAGGAGCGACUUUGGGAUGGGUGAAUCAAGAAGCUGAAGAUCUGGAAGAAUCUGGUCAUUCUCACUGUUGUAAAAGGGAUCUUGUGAAGUUAGACCUAACUUAUGGAGGAACUCCUCUGUCAUUAAAUAUUAUGCCAGACCCAUAUUUCUUCAGAGUAAUCUUGUUAUGGGAUAAGAGGUUAGUUCAUUAUUCAUCCAUCCAUUAUGUACUGCUUAUUCUGUUUUGGAUC